UACGUAGGUGGCAAGCGUUGUCCGGAAUACUGGGCGUAAAGCGUGCGCAGGCGGUUUUGUAAGCCAGAUGUGAAAUCCCCGGGCUCAACCUGGGAAUGGCAUUUGGGACUGCAAGGCUCGAGUGCGGCAGAGGAGACUGGAAUUCCUGGUGUAGCAGUGAAAUGCGUAGAUAUCAGGAGGAAUACCGAUGGCGAAGGCAGGUCUCUGGGCUGACACUGACGCUCAUGCACGAAAGCGUGGGGAGCAAACAGG
rnacentral:rRNA from 1 species